rnacentral:rRNA from 1 species
UACGGAGGGUGCAAACGUUGCUCGGAAUCAUUGGGCGUAAAGCGCACGUAGGCGGCCGAUUAAGUCGGAUGUGAAAGCCCCGGGCUCAACCCGGGAAGUGCAUACGAAACUGGUCGGCUUGAAUAUGGAAGAGGGUCGCGGAAUUCCCGGUGUAGAGGUGAAAUUCGUAGAUAUCGGGAGGAACACCAGUGGCGAAGGCGGCGACCUGGGCCAAUAUUGACGCUGAGGUGCGAAAGCGUGGGGAGCAAACAGG